UCAUUCGUGCAAUGUGUAUACGAGAAGUGAAGGACAUCAUAGUUGCUGAAAUGAUUGGAAUCGGUUCGUGGAUGCUCCACAUUCUGAGAUUAAAUUAAUUAAUUAUGUUUUUCUGAUGUUAAAUCACAGUGUGGAUACAGAAAUGAAUUGUCAUAUUACUGGAUCUUUGAUCCCACCCCAGACUGGAUCCAUGCGUUGGCUGUCAGCACACGAUGCUGAAUAUGCUUCACAAAUCAACAGUGGUAAAAGGAAGUCAAGGGAUAUCAGCAUCAAAAUUGAGCAGAAUGAACAAGAACACAGAAUACUCCAGAACGAAAAUAGCAUGGUAAAAUCUGAACGGCCACACAAGUCCCGAAAGAGGAGCAUUGAGGACCGAUAAUUCAUUGAGGUUGUGAAGAAUUUUGUAUGAAUACAAGAAUGUUGCUGGAUAGUUGAGAAAACUAAGCAAAGGGUGAUGAAGGCCAAGCACUUGUAUGUGGAAGUAAUGUUUUCCUUCAAUGAUUCUGCUGUCUUUUAAUGCUUUUUUGGGGAGAAGAUGCAUCUCCAGUUCAAGGAGUGGUGCUUAGCCUAUUCAGAACAUGCUUCCCCAGUUGCUUUAGAGAAGUGUACGAUGAUGUAAAACAAUGAUGAUUGCAUUUGUAAGAGGUCCACUUUGCCCACCAAACAGUUACUGAUCUCAUCGAAGAAACUAAUGUUUAAUGGCAAACGAGGCUGCUUUUUUUGGUGGUA